rnacentral:rRNA from 1 species
UUCAAUACCAAACUUAACACUUGGUGUGCACUUUUCUCUUAGUAAGACGCCGUGAUCCAUUAGAAAUUGGUAAAUGUCAAUUUACAUGAGGUCAUCAAUGGGCUUGUAUGAAGUUUAUUGGAACAAAUGGCAUGAUCCUUCAACGGUUGUGUGUAUUGUCUGGUAAGCAUACGAGUACUCGUAUUAUGACUGUCUGAUGGAUUUUAAAGAUUAUAUUAUUAAUGUUUCGGCAUUACUUGUCGCAAGAUGAGAAUUUAAUAUAUAUCCGAUCAACGGUGGUUAAAUUUGGGAUACCUUUUGGACCCGUCUUGAAACACGGACCAAGGAGUCUAUCUAAUGUGCGAGUAAAUGGAUAUUUAUUUGAAAUCUAUUUGCGUAAUAAACGUAACUAUAUUUAUGGGAUUACGAGGUUAAUGUUAAAGUUGACUUCUUCCAUCCCGGAGUACUUUUAUCAACAUAUACGCAAGUAUAUGGAAAGUAUAUCAUGAGCAUAUUGGAUACGACCCGAAAGAUGGUGAACUAUGCCUGAUCAGGUCGAAGUCAGGGGAAACCCUGAUGGAGGACCGAAGCAGUUCUGACGUGCAAAUCG